AAUCAACGCUGGCGGCGUGCCUAACACAUGCAAGUCGAACGCGAAAGCCCUUUCGGGGGUAAGUAGAGUGGCGUCCGGGUGAGUAACACGUGGGUAAUCUGCCUCCGGGUGGGGGAUAACUCGCCGAAAGGUGAGCUAAUACCGCAUAAUGCAGCGGCACCUAAUGGUGAAUAGUUGUUAAAGCGGGGGACCCUUCGGGGCCUCGCGCCUGGAGAGGAGCCUGCGGCAGAUUAGCUAGUUGGUGAGGUAAUGGCUCACCAAGGCUUCGAUCUGUAGCUGGUCUGAGAGGACGGCCAGCCACACUGGCACUGACACACGGGCCAGACUCCUACGGGAGGCAGCAGUGGGGAAUUUUGGGCAAUGGGCGAAAGCCUGACCCAGCAACGCCGCGUGAGGGAGGAAAUCCUUCGGGAUGUAAACCUCGCAAGCAAGGGAAGAGCGCCACAGAUCGAAUAAGUCUGUGGUCCGACGGUACCUUGCGUAAGCCACGGCUAACUACGUGC
rnacentral:rRNA from 1 species